GACGAACGCUGGCGGCGUGCUUAACACAUGCAAGUCGAACGGAAAGGCCCUGCUUGCAGGGUACUCGAGUGGCGAACGGGUGAGUAACACGUGGGUGUUCUGCCCUGCACUUCGUGAUAAGCCUUGGAAACUGGGUCUAAUACCGGAUAGGAGCCCUUUUUAUUGUGAUGGUUGGAAAGUUUUUUCGGUUUGGGAUGAGCUCACGGCCUAUCUGUUUGUUGGUGGGGUAAUGGCCUACCAAGGGGGCGACGGGUAGCCGGCCUGGGAGGGUGGCCGGCCCAAUGGGACCUGGGUUAGGCCCAGACUCCCAAGGGGGGCAGGAGGGGGGAAAAUUGCACAAAUGGGGCGAGCCUUAUGCAGCGACGCCGGGUGGGGGAAUACGGCCUUCGGGUUGGAAACUCCGUUCGCUAGGGAAGAAGCUUUUAGUGACGGUACCUAGAUAAGAAGCACCGGCUAACUACGUG
rnacentral:rRNA from 1 species